GGCAGCAAAACAUGUUUCACUAUUAGACAAGGCUAUGGUCUGACUAUAUAUAUAUAUAUAUUAUAUAUAUAUGAAAAAACAAAUGAUAGGAAAUGUAAAUGGGACUAAAUAAGUUGUAAAUAAAUAUAUCUGUAGUUAUAAUACAGUACCUGUUUAAAUAUGAACUCUGCGAUUAAAUUCCUUUUUUUGUAAGGACAGCUAUCAAUUAACAUUUUAGAAAGAUGGGAAACCGUUUUGGAGGUACAAUAGGCUA